UACGUAGGUGACAAGCGUUGUCCGGAUUUACUGGGCGUAAAGAGCGCGCAGGCGGUCGUUCAAGUCGAGUGUGAAAGCCCCCGGCUCAACUGGGGAGGGUCACUCGAUACUGCUCGACUCGAAGGCAGGAGAGGGUAGUGGAAUUCCCGGUGUAGUGGUGAAAUGCGUAGAUAUCGGGAGGAACACCAGUGGCGAAGGCGACUACCUGGCCUGUUCUUGACGCUGAGGCGCGAAAGCUAGGGGAGCAAACGGG
rnacentral:rRNA from 1 species